rnacentral:lncRNA from 1 species
UCGAAGUAAAAAAGAAAAAUAAGAAUUGUUAUACGGAUCAAAAAACAGAAAAACUUAUAUUGGUAAUAAAUUAAUAGAAUAUAAACUAAUAUAACUCUAUUUUGAUACAAUCAUAUAGGAGUUAAAUUAUAUGUUUUUAAUAUUUCAAUUAUGAAGUUUGUAAUAUUUUUUAUGCAAGUCCUAUAAACUAUAUAUUAAAAAAUUGAAAUUAUUUUGAAAUUUUGGUACGAUACAUUUUGGGGCAUUUGCUUUUUCUUUAGUUUGAUUCAUGAAUAAAAAGAGAUGCAUUGCAGUAUACAGGUAUGUGGAUUUUCUGGGACCCAUUCCGAUAAAAAAAAAUUUGAGACAAGGCCCAAACCCUCAGGGUCACUUCUGAAGCAGUGGUGUGGCCAAUCAUCCCAUGAUGUUCUGUGCAGUUUGUAUCGACAUAUUCACCCCCUCUUUACACCCAAGCUGAAGUCUAUCAAAAUUUAUAUUCUCCUCUUCAAGAAGACAGCGACUCAAUCUGAAUUAUAAGUUGGUAUAAGUCCUUUCGCGUGUUGGCGGUUGGCCAUUUCAAGACUCCUUCAGACUAUGAUAUCUGUUUCUCUUAGCUUUGAGCCAGUGCUG